rnacentral:rRNA from 1 species
UCACGAAAAAUGUACCUCGAUGUCGGCUUAUCAUCACUAAAAUAGGUAGCUUAAUUAUUGGUGGGAGUGCUCAUCCCGUAAAUUGGUUCGUGAGCUGGGUUCAAUACGAUGG